UACGGGGGGGGCAAGCGUUGUUCGGAAUUACUGGGCGUAAAGGGCUCGUAGGCGGCCAACUAAGUCGGAUGUGAAAUCCCCAGGCUCAACCUGGGAACUGCAUCCGAUACUGGAUGGCUUGAAUUCGGGAGAGGGAUGCAGAAUUCCAGGUGUAGCGGUGAAAUGCGUAGAUAUCUGGAGGAACACCGAUGGCGAAGGCAGCUCGCUGGGACGUUACUGACGCUGAGACGCGAAAGCGUGGGGAGCAAACAGG
rnacentral:rRNA from 1 species